UAUAUACUCCCUCUGUUCCGAAUUACUUGUCGCAGGUAUGAAUGUAUCUAGAUAUAUUUUAGUUCUAAAUACAUCUAUUUCUGCGACGAGUAAUUUGGAACGAAGGGGAGGGAGUACUCG
rfam:Triticum aestivum genome assembly, contig: Triticum_aestivum_CS42_TGACv1_scaffold_094021_2AL